GUGCCGCUCACGCCCGGUCGUACU
rnacentral:snRNA from 1 species